rnacentral:lncRNA from 1 species
UCUCUUUGACUCUUUCAAGAACAUGUUUGUUUUUGACAGAUCCUCAGUACUCGAGCUCGCAAGAAAGUAGAAAUUGAAGAUAUAAAUGUUAAUGUCUGUGUAUUUGCUUUUGAUUUGUUGCAUCUAAAUGGCCUAGAACUUCUUUAGGAAAACCUUGGAGUCCGCAGAGAGGUACCUACUUUUAUCUUUGCUCUGUCAUUAGUUUCAUAUUUCAUAAAGGAUUUUGGUUUAAUGUAUCUUCAUUUACUAGGAAUGAAUAUUUUCUGCAUAUUAUAAUAGGUUUUGGAGAAGAUGGUUCCCUUGUAUGGGUGGAGGGAAAUGCUGAAAGCUUGAGUUUCCAAAAUGAUUCAAUGGAUGGUUAUACUAUUAUGAUUCAAUGGAUGGUUAUACUACUGCACUUGGGAUAAGAAAUGUCACACACAUAGUUAUUUCUUUUAUUUUAAGUGUUAGUAAAUUGUAGAAACUUGACUACAAUGUAGUGUAGGUUAAUGUUAUAGUUGGAUUUAAUAUAUGGUUUGAUGUAC